rnacentral:lncRNA from 1 species
GAGUGUUAGUGCUGUUAUUAAUGGUUCUUUAGCAUCGUCAUAUAGUCCAAUAAAAUUAACUACUUUUUUUUUAAUACAUAAUUCGAUAUCUUUAUUUUUAACUAGUUUUGCAUUUUUAGUGGGUUCCUAUUAUUUAUUAAUAUUUAGUCGGUUUUAUUGUGGCUUUAGUGAAGCAGCAUUUACUACUACUAUACCACCUUUAAUUUUUUCAUAUUCUAAAAACAAAGCGGGAUGUUGGCUAAGUAUUUUUCUCACAAUGUUUCCUUUAGGUGGUUGUACAGGUUAUGUAAUAGCAGUUAUUUUGCCUAUAAUUAAUAUGACUCUUUUUGAAUAUUUUUUUUAUGUAGGUUUCCUAGUUUUAAUAUUAACUUUUAUAUUUUUUUUGUUUGAUGAAAAUUUAAUAAAAAAUUAUGAAGAUAAAAAAUAUAGUAAAAAAAAUGAAAUAAAAACAAACUCAGUAUUAUUGCAUGACCAACAGGAUAAAAACACAGCAUUUAACGAUUUAAAAAAUGUGAAAAAAAAAAGCAGUUAUAAAAAUCAAAACAGUUGUAUUAAAACGAAUUUAAUAACUAGUGAAUCUACUAAUAACUUAAGUAAAAUAAAUGAAAUGUGUAGCAUUAAAUCAUAUCACAUUAAUGAUAAUAAAAAAAAUGAUGAUGAUAACAAUAAUAUUAACAAUGUCAAUGCUAACAUUGGUAACAGUAACAAUAUAGAUAAUAAUGAAAGUAACAGUAACAAUAUAGAUAAUAAUGAAAGUAACAGUAACAAUAUAAAUAAUAAUGAAAGUAAGAAUAACAAGUAUAGUGAUAAUGAAAAUAAGAAUAACAAGUAUAGCGAUAAUGAAAAUAAGAAUAACAAGUAUAGCGAUAAUGUUGAAGAAGCUUUUAAUAAUAAAAUUAAUAAUGUGAGUGACAAUACAUGGAUUCCUCUAUCUUAUCAGAAUUACAACAUAGAUAACAUGAAUAGCACUGAACAUAUUAGUAAAACGGAUUCAAUUGAAUCAAAGCUUGAAACAAUUACAUCUUAUAACAGUUACAUUAAUAACAAUUUAGAUAUAAUUUAUACUAAUGAAAACUACAAACCUGAUUUUCUUGAAUCAAAUACAACACAUGAAGCAUAUCAUACAAGUAUAAACAGAGAUGAAAUUUUAAAUAGUAAAUCAUCUAAUAAUAUUGAUAAUGCAGAAGAAAAAAGUAAAAAUAAUUAUAAUAUAAAUUUGUUAUUUAAUGUAACA